UACGGAGGGGACUAGCGUUGUUCGGAAUUACUGGGCGUAAAGCGCACGUAGGCGGAUUUGUAAGUCAGGGGUGAAAUCCCGGGGCUCAACCUCGGAACUGCCUUUGAUACUGCAAAUCUCGAGUCCGGAAGAGGUGAGUGGAAUUCCUAGUGUAGAGGUGAAAUUCGUAGAUAUCAGGAAGAACACCCGUGGCGAAGGCGGUUCUCUGGAACGCAACUGACGCUGAGACGCGAAAAGCGUGGGGGAGCAAACAGG
rnacentral:rRNA from 1 species